rnacentral:rRNA from 1 species
UACGUAGGGUGCGAGCGUUAAUCGGAAUUACUGGGCGUAAAGCGUGCGCAGGCGGUUCGUUGUGUCGGCGGUGAAAGCCCCGGGCUUAACCUGGGAAUGGCCGUUGAAACUGGCGAACUGGAGUGUGGCAGAGGGGGGUGGAAUUCUGCGUGUAGCAGUGAAAUGCGUAGAGAUGCGGAGGAACACCGAUGGCGAAGGCAGCCCCCCUGGGCUAACACUGACGCUCAGGCACGAAAGCGUGGGGAGCAAACAGG